rnacentral:rRNA from 1 species
UACGUAGGGGGCAAGCGUUGUCCGGAUUUAUUGGGCGUAAAGAGCGUGUAGGCGGCCAUACAGGUCAGCUGUGAAAACUCGAGGCUCAACCUCGAGACGUCGGUUGAAACCGUAUGGCUAGAGUCCGGAAGAGGAGUGUGGAAUUCCCGGUGUAGCGGUGAAAUGCGCAGAUAUCGGGAAGAACACCCGUGGCGAAGGCGGCUCUCUGGGACGGUACUGACGCUGAGACGCGAAAGCGUGGGGAGCGAACAGG